UACUUCGGUAUAGUAAAACUGCGAAUAGCUCAUUAUAUCGCCUCUAUUUUGUUUGAUAGUCAAUCCACUGGAUAUCCGUGGAAAAUCUAGAGCUAAUACAUGCAAUAUACAAUAUUAGUUUUUCGUGCUAGUAUUGUGCAUUUAUUAGAUAUCCGAUCGUACUUAUCUCGAAGUAUGUGAGGUGAUUCUAGAUGACUUUGCUGAUCGAAUUGCAUUCGUGCAAUCGACAGAUCAAACAAGAUCGCGCCCUAUCAAAUUGUUGUUAGGAUAUUUUCCUAACAAGUUUGUGACGGGUGACGGGGAAUCAGGGUUCGAUUCCGGAGAGGGAGCAUGAGAUAUAGCUACCACAUCUAAGGAGGGCAGCAGGCGCGCAAAUUACCCACUCCCUAUAAGGGGAGGUAGUAACGAGACUUAUCGGUGCUUACUUAAAAAGUGAGUAACCGGAAUGGACGAAAUUCAGGUCCAUUCGUGAGUAACAAACAUUGGGCAAGACUGGUGCCAGCAGCCGCGGUAAUUCCAGCAAUGUUUGUACUAGUAAAAAUUGUUGCAUUUAAAAGGCUCGUAGUCGGUUUAUUUCGCUAACUGAAACUAUGCCAUGAUAUUGUACUGAAUUUAUAUCAUAUGGCUAGUUAUACAGAAAGCGAAAGAGCACUUUCAAUUCGUAUGCACUUAAUUGGGCGUACGAAGUGUUAGUGAUCGUACCUUGAACAAAUCGGUUUGUUCAAAAUAGGCUAUUGCCUAAACAUUCAUGCAUGGAAUGUUAAAAAGUGACCUAAUUGUUGGCGGAACAAUGAAGGUCCAGGUCAAAAGAGACAUUUGGGGGCAUACGAACUCGGUCGCGAGAGGUGAAAUUCUAAGACCGACCGAGGUCGAACAAAAGCGUAAGCAUUUGCCCAGAAUGUUUUCAUUGAUCAAGAACGAAAGUUGGGGGAUCAAAAACGAUCAGAUACCGUUGUAGUCCCAACUAUAAACUAUACCGACUGAAGGGGUCAGUUCGGUACAUUUAUCCGUACGUUUUGACCUCCAGGGGAAACCUUAGUAAGGUUCUGGGGGGAGUACGGUCGCAAGUCUGAAACUUAAAGGAAUUGACGGAAGGGCACCACCAGGAGUGGAGCCUGCGGCUUAAUUUGACUCAACGCGGGUAAACUUACCCGGUCCGGACAUCGUUAGGAUUGACAGACUAAUCGCUCUUUCAUGAUUCGGUGAUGAGUGGUGCAUGGCCGUUCAUAGUUGGUGGAGCGAUUUGUCUGGUUAAUUCCGAUAACGAACGAGACAAUCGCCUACAGUUAGAUGACUAAAUUGGGGUGUUUAGUCAACUUUCUGUAGGGACAAACGUCUUAAUAAGACGUGGGAGGUUGUUUUCGAAAACAGGUCCGUUAUGCCCUUCGAUGUCCGGGGCCGCACGCGGGCUACAAUGAGUGUAGCAAAGAGAACUAAGGGAGAUAUCCUCUAGUAACCUCACGAAAUGCAGUUCGUGAUGGGGACUGAACCUUGUAAUUGUGGUUCAUAAACGAGGAAUUUCUAGUAAGCGCUGGUCAUCAUCCAGCGCUGACUAGGUCUCUGCCCUUUGUACACACCGCCCGUCGCUACUACCGAUUGAAUGACAUAGCGAGAACUUGAUUUUAAUUUAUAUUAUUCUUAAUUGAAUUGUGUAAGUUAAAAGCCUGUUCGAGCUUAGUCGUUUAGAGGAAGUAAAAGUCGUAACAAGGUUUCCGUAGGUGAACCUGCGGAAGG
rnacentral:rRNA from 1 species